CCUACGGGAGGCAGCAGUGGGGAAUAUUGCACAAUGGGGGAAACCCUGAUGCAGCGACGCCGCGUGAGUGAAGAAGUAUUUCGGUACGUAAAGCUCUAUCAGCAGGGAAGAAAAUGAAGGUACCUGACUAAGAAGCCCCGGCUAACUACGUGCCAGCAGCCGCGGUAAUACGUAGGGGGCAAGCGUUAUCCGGAUUUACUGGGUGUAAAGGGAGCGUAGACGGCAGCGCAAGUCUGGAGUGAAAGCCCAUGGCUUAACCAUGGAACUGCUUUGGAAACUGUGCAGCUAGAGUGCAGGAGAGGUAAGCGGAAUUCCUAGUGUAGCGGUGAAAUGCGUAGAUAUUAGGAGGAACACCAGUGGCGAAGGCGGCUUACUGGACUGUAACUGACGUUGAGGCGCGAAAGCGUGGGGAGCAAACAGGAUUAGAUACCCCUGUAGUC
rnacentral:rRNA from 1 species